GCUGGUCCGGGUGGCGGUGUAGCCGUCUGCGGAGGGCCCUGGCCGGGCCGAAGCGUGUCUCUGCGGCGCCCCUCCGCCCCCUGGCCGCCACUGCGAUGAGGACGCUUUUUACUCUCUGUUUGCUCUUGAUCGGCGGACCGAACCGGACCUGGGCCAUCGGGAACCUGACCGUGGACAGCAGCACCGACACCAGCCGGUCGAAUUAUACCGGCUACAUCUCCAUCGGGGACGGAUCGGCGCAGGAAUUUGAGUUUCCGGAAAACACUGAAGGAGUGAUCGUGAUCUCCAGUCGGUACCGGGGCUCCAGCCGGAAUCAGACGGUUAGGGUUCGGUCUCUGGACCCGGAGGUCCUCUCCGUGUUGAAUGUGACGGCCGGCGGCCGGGAAGGACCAGCUGGCAGCUUCAUCAUCAGCAUCCGUUCCGGGUUUCCGGGCCGGGCGCCGCUGCAGAUCCAGCUGUUGGACCGGGACCGGGACUCGGUUCCGGUUCUGAUCGAGGAGAGGACGGAAUAUUUCAUCAGAGUGGAGCCCAGCGAGGGCGACGAGGCCACCCGGUUGCUGCAGUCCGGGGGCCUGUCCCACUUCACGGAGAACCCGGUGCUGUUCGCCUUGCUGCCCCUCAUCUUCGUCAACAAGUGUGCCUUCGGCUGCAAGGUGGAGGUGGAGGUGCUGCGGGCUCUGCUGCGCCGCCCGAUGGCGCUGCUGCUGGGGGUGCUGGCCCAGUUCCUGGUCAUGCCGCUGUACGCCUACUGCGCGUCCCGGCUGCUGUCGCUGCCCACCGCGCUGUCCCUCGGCCUGGUCAUCACCUGCUCCGCCCCGGGGGGCGGCGGCGGCUACCUUUACAGCCUGCUGCUGGGGGGCGACGUCACACUGGCCAUCUCCAUGACGCUGGUGUCCACGGUGGUGGCCACGGCGGCCAUGCCUCUUUCCUCGGCUCUGUACGGCAGGCUGCUGGGCGUACACGCCGCCCUCCACGUCCCCUUCGUGAAGAUCUUGGGCACCCUGCUCUUCAUCGCCAUCCCCAUCUCCCUGGGCAUGCUGAUCAAGCUGCGACUCCCGGCCCUCACCCGCGUCCUGCUGGUGCUCAUCCGGCCCUUCAGCGUCGUGCUGAUGGUCGGUGGCAUCUUCAUGGCCUACCAGAUGGGGUCGUCCAUCCUGGCCAACGUGCAGCCCCAGAUCGUGGCGGUCGGGGUGACGGUGCCUUUGCUGGGCCUCCUGGUCGGCGCGGGCCUGGCCAGAACCGCCGGCUUGGCUCUGCCGCAGAGGAAAACCGUGAGCAUCGAGGUGGGCGUACAGAACAGCCUGCUGGCCCUGGCCGUCAUGCAGCUGUCCUUCCGGCGGGUGGAGGCGGACUUUGCGUCGCAGGCGCCCUUCAUCGUGGCGCUCAGCAGCACCUCGGAGAUGCUCCUUAUCGUCCUGGGCUCCUUCAUCUGGCGGAGGCUCUGCUGUCCUCAGGAGUGACGGCUGAUUGUAGCUGCAGAAUGGACCUUUGGAAACCCGUGGACAUCCGUCUGCCCUGUGGCGGCUCGGUUCCGGUCCACUCAUCACUGUUGUACAGCGGACUGAUCUUUUCUGCUUCUUUUAAUGUCGUUUUUGGUAUUUUUUCAUGGAAACCAAAGGCCUUUUACCCCUGAGAGUUUUGUGUGUUGCUCCUUUUUCAGAUCAGAUUCUACUGUGAGCUUCUUCAUGCUGAUAUUCCUCUGAAGACAGAACUUAUUUUUCUACAAGACGGAUUUUUGUAUUUCUAAAAUCAGACUGAAAAUGUAUCAUGUUUACAAGUGAUCUACGUGUCUUAGCCUGUGAGGGGAACAUGGCUGCUUCAAGAGGAACAUGAUGAUGUGAUUAUUUCCUUCAGAAGGGUGCAUUCAUCACCAAGAUGCGGUUUUUCUGCUGGUGGUGAAACUUUCAACAGCUCAGCAUGAAUCAUCACCAGUUGCUUCUUUAAACUCGGCUUGUUACAACAAGCUGCAAACGGGGUGCAGAGCUAGCCACGCUAAAGUAUUCACAGUCCUGAACUUUGUCAUGCUCUGACCAUAAACGCUGAUUGUUCUCAGGAUUUUCUGCGACAGAUCUGAAAAAGGUUUGUAACUUGUUUUACAAAUAAAAAUCUGGGUUUGUAUUAAUUCCCCUUACCACACCCAUAAAUAAAAUGAGCUCCAAUCAGUCAGAGAUUUUCAGGGCUGAAAGCCGAAAAUUGUCAAAUUAUCAUUUUCAAAUAAAUUAUUUUUGUGCCUUUAAGUUUUUCCUCUGAAAAGUGUUGUGUGUAAAAACGUGAAGUGAACUGGUGCGACAUUCCUGAAACGUGGAGCUGUUGAAUAAAAAGGAAAGCUAAUGAGGAAAUGUGAGUUUACUAACUUGUUGCAACAUGGGACAAGGUCCAGGUUUUAUCUGAACAGUUUCACAGGGUCAAAGUUCAUCAGUUUCACAGCAACAAAGAAAGUCUUGAUCUGUAGGCUGAAGCUAAACACACUUCCAUGGUGGGAAACAGAAAUGUUUGCCCCUGUUUGGCUGCUUGAGCUCUCAGGAAUGUUGCGCAGCUGUAAAUCGUCCAAACAGCAGAAGCUUUAAAAUGGCUGUUAGGGGAAGUCCAGCCCUCUGAGCUGCCAGCAGAAACAGGAAGAAGAUCAUGUGAGUCAUCCUCCUCUGCUGUGUGCAGGGUGAUAAACAUGAACAGUGGAGCCAUGUGUGACAUACAGCAGCAUCGUUACAGUACAUAAAUCUGCCUCUUUUUAAACGUCAUUUGUUUU